GUCUCUGAUGAUGAUCAAACAUAAACUUUCGUUCUUCUGAGAAUAAAUUUCAUGCGGAAUGCUUUAUGGAGACCUGAACUGAAGAGAC